GUGAGGGGGUGACAGAGUGAGGGAAGGGGAUGACAUGUGACAGAGUGAGGGAGGGGAUGACAUGUGACAGAGUGAGGGAGGGCGUGACUAGUGACAGAAGGAGGGAGGGAGUAGUGACAGAGGGAGGUGGUGACUAGUGACAGAGUGAGGGAGGUGGUGACUAGUGACAGUCACCACUUCCCUCACUCUGUCACUAGUCACCCCUUCCUUCCCUCACUCUGCCACUAGUCACCCCUUCCCUCACUCUGCCACUAGUCACCCCUUCCCUCACUCUGUCACUAGUCACCCCCUCAC